AACCAAAAAUAGCUCGAAAUAAUAGAUCUUUUAAAACAAUUUAACAAACUUAAACAAAACAUUCACAUUCAUUAAAGUAUAGGUGAUAGAAAUUAUACUAGACGCUAUAGAGAAAGUACCGUAAGGGAAAAAAUGAAA
rnacentral:rRNA from 1 species